CCUGGCUCAGGAUGAACGCUAGCUACAGGCUUAACACAUGCAAGUCGAGGGGCAGCAUGGUCUUAGCUUGCUAAGGCCGAUGGCGACCGGCGCACGGGUGAGUAACACGUAUCCAACCUGCCGUCUACUCUUGGACAGCCUUCUGAAAGGAAGAUUAAUACAAGAUGGCAUCAUGAGUCCGCAUGUUCACAUGAUUAAAGGUAUUCCGGUAGACGAUGGGGAUGCGUUCCAUUAGAUAGUAGGCGGGGUAACGGCCCACCUAGUCUUCGAUGGAUAGGGGUUCUGAGAGGAAGGUCCCCCACAUUGGAACUGAGACACGGUCCAAACUCCUACGGGAGGCAGCAGUGAGGAAUAUUGGUCAAUGGGCGAGAGCCUGAACCAGCCAAGUAGCGUGAAGGAUGACUGCCCUAUGGGUUGUAAACUUCUUUUAUAAAGGAAUAAAGUCGGGUAUGGAUACCCGUUUGCAUGUACUUUAUGAAUAAGGAUCGGCUAACUCCGUGCCAGCAGCCGCGGUAAUACGGAGGAUCCGAGCGUUAUCCGGAUUUAUUGGGUUUAAAGGGAGCGUAGAUGGAUGUUUAAGUCAGUUGUGAAAGUUUGCGGCUCAACCGUAAAAUUGCAGUUGAUACUGGAUAUCUUGAGUGCAGUUGAGGCAGGCGGAAUUCGUGGUGUAGCGGUGAAAUGCUUAGAUAUCACGAAGAACUCCGAUUGCGAAGGCAGCCUGCUAAGCUGCAACUGACAUUGAGGCUCGAAAGUGUGGGUAUCAAACAGGAUUAGAUACCCUGGUAGUCCACACGGUAAACGAUGAAUACUCGCUGUUUGCGAUAUACUGCAAGCGGCCAAGCGAAAGCGUUAAGUAUUCCACUUGGGGAGUACGCCGGCAACGGUGAAACUCAAAGGAAUUGACGGGGGCCCGCACAAGCGGAGGAACAUGUGGUUUAAUUCGAUGAUACGCGAGGAACCUUACCCGGGCUUAAAUUGCAGAUGAAUUACGGUGAAAGCCGUAAGCCGCAAGGCAUCUGUGAAGGUGCUGCAUGGUUGUCGUCAGCUCGUGCCGUGAGGUGUCGGCUUAAGUGCCAUAACGAGCGCAACCCUUGUUGUCAGUUACUAACAGGUUCCGCUGAGGACUCUGACAAGACUGCCAUCGUAAGAUGUGAGGAAGGUGGGGAUGACGUCAAAUCAGCACGGCCCUUACGUCCGGGGCUACACACGUGUUACAAUGGGGGGUACAGAGGGCCGCUACCACGCGAGUAGAUGCCAAUCCCCAAAACCUCUCUCAGUUCGGACUGGAGUCUGCAACCCGACUCCACGAAGCUGGAUUCGCUAGUAAUCGCGCAUCAGCCACGGCGCGGUGAAUACGUUCCCGGGCCUUGUACACACCGCC
rnacentral:rRNA from 1 species